rnacentral:rRNA from 1 species
GGGGGGGGGGGGGGGGGGGGGGGGGGGGGGGAGGGCGGGGGGGGGGGGCCUGCGGGGGUGGGGUGCUCGGGUGGCGGACGGGUGAGUAACGCGGGAGUAACCUGCCCGUGACUUUGGGAUCACGUCAGGCAACUGGGGCUAAUACCGGAUAGGAGCUCCUGCUGCAUGGUGGGGGUUGGAAGGUUUCGGCGGUUGGUGAGGGACGCGCGGCUUAUCAGCUUGUUGGUGGGGUAGUUGCUUACCAAGGCUUUGACGGGUAGCCGGCCUGAGAGGGUGACCGGCCACAUUGGGACUGAGAUACGGCCCAGACUCCUACGGGAGGCAGCAGUGGGGAAUAUUGCACAAUGGGCGGAAGCCUGAUGCAGCAACGCCGCGUGCGGGAUGACGGCCUUCGGGUUGUAAACCGCUUUCGCCUGUGACGAAGCGUGAGUGACGGUAAUGGGUAAAGAAGCACCGGCUAACUACGUG